GUCAUAUUGCUCAUUGGUUGAUGAUUUUGUUUAUUGUCAAUAGGAUUUUGCUGGGAAAAGUUAUGCUGAAACAUGAAUUCAUUAUUAACGUGAUUUGUCAAAUGUGCUGAACCCGGACUUUCCACAAUAUGAUUACCAUUAUCUGCAUGGUUUUCUAGCCCAGAAGUUAUCUCUCCAAUUCUAUCAUGUGAAUUCCGAAUCCUCCAUUGUAAUCGAUCAUGUAAAUGCUUUACAUAGUUGGAUACUGAAGAGGCAUUCAUAACACGAGGCCACAGACCAUAUUCUGCCAGCAAUCCAAGCAUAGAUGACAUAAAGACAUAUCUCUCGUCCUCCGCAACUUUCAA
rnacentral:lncRNA from 1 species